rnacentral:lncRNA from 1 species
AUACCCGCUGAAGAUCGAAAAGGAAGCUGUCAAGGUACUACGUAGCAGUCACUUCAGACUCGGACACUUCCUGUUUACAGAGGACUAUAAAACCCCUGCCCCGUCCUCACUUGACGCUGACGCCAUUUUAGGCCUCAGCCCAUCUGCACCCAGGCGCUCGUUAAAACAGCCUGUAGCUCCACACCGCCUCCUGUUGUCUGUUGGCACGUUCUCGGGGUUCCAACCGAUACAAGAGCCUUGCAAAAGUCAGUUCUGAAGGCUGAACCCCAAAUUAAGCUGCUGUGUGAUCUGAUGUCUGGUGAGGGCUUCUUCUUUCGUUCACGGACCUCACCUUCUCACUGUAUCCUCACUUGGUGGAAGCAAUGAACAAGCUCCCCGGGCCUAUUUUAAAAGGGUACGAUGGCCGGGCGCGGUGGCUCACGCCUGUAAUGCCAGCACUUUGGAAGCCUGAGGCGGGUGGAUCACUUGAAGUCUGGAGUUCAAGACCAGGCUGGCCAACAUGGUGAAACCCAGUCUCUACUAAAAAUACAAAACUUAGCUGGGCGUGGUGGCAGGCUCCUGUAAUCCCAACUACUCAGGAGCCUGAGACAGCAGAAUCGCUUGAACCUAGGAGGCGGAGGUUGCAGUGAGCCAAGAUUGUGCCACUGCACUCCAGCCUGGACAACAGAGCGAGACUACGUCUCAAAAAAAAAAAAAAGGAUACGAUUUCCUUAUUAAUUUAAUGACCUAAUUACUUUCCCAAAGGCCCUACCUCCUGAUAUCAUCACCAUGGGUGUUAGGAUUUUGACAUAUUAAUUUUAGGGGCACAUAAACUUUCAGACUACAGCCAUGCACUCAGAAUUAUAUCAAACAUUUACUGACUUAGAGAGAGAAAUAAUUUUCAAAAAAUGUUUCUUCCUCAAGAUUCCAGCUUUCCACCAGAUCUUUCACAGCUGUAUGAUAUUUCAUGUUGUAUGUGCCUGGAGAAUGGUACUUGCAGUCUCCUUGCUUGGUAUUACCGAAGUAUGCCUGCCAGUUUUCAGUACUGACUACGUGAGAGGAAGCAUAUUCAUGUACCAUGGCUUUGAGACCCAGCAAAAAGAAAAUUUCCUUUUGAGAAGCAAAACACCUCACAAAUGAGCAAGUCAUCAUUCAAAAGAUAGUAUAAAAAAUAGUUUUAAAACGAAGAGCCUGGCACAGUAGCUCAAGCCUGUAAUCCCAGCACUUUGGGAGGCUGAGGCAGACGGAUCACCUGAGGUCAGGAGUUUGAGACCAAUCUGACCAACAUGGAGAAGCCCCGUCUCUACUACAAAUACAAAAUUAGCCGGGCGUGGUGGAGCAUGCCUGUAGUCCCAGCUACUUGGGAGGCUGAGGCAGGAGAAUCGCUUGAACCCAGGAGGCAGAGGUUGUGGUGAGCGGAGAUCGCGCCAUUGCACACCAGCCUGGGCAACAAGAGCAAAACUCCAUCUCAAACAAACAAACAAACAAACAAAAAACAAAGUCAGGGUUUACUCCCUUUACAGGGUUUCAUUUUAGUUAUGGAAAACGAAAAAAAAAAAAAACUCAUGUGAUUUUUUAUGUAAAAUGAGCAUGAUUUUUAUUUAACACACAAGAAGCAGUGAGUAGUAAUUUCCUAAUUGUAAUAAAGUACUCUGAAAAUGAAAAAAAAAAAGAAGAAAAACCUCAAAAACCACAACACAAUUGCUUUGUGCCAGAUAAUAAAGAGAUAAUCUCCUAACAUUAGGUUCAAUCUUCUUCAAAAUCUUCAUUUAAAUGUUCCCGGGCAGCCUCAGCCGCCUUUUGGCAACGCCUCCUUGAAAGGUCAAGAGGCCUGGUGGCAGAGUAUUGUACUUUGAUGAGUCUGCAAGCAUUGUUUGAUGAUUAGGUUUAAUUCCUAGGUCAUGAAAGAUCCUCAGGAGCUUUUUGUCAGCAUUUGCUACAUCUGAAUUCAGUUACUGUGAAUGUGUGACCAUACGUUUUGUAUUGUACAAGAUGAUUAAAUUCACAAAUGUAUCAGCCUGUAUGGUCUGUGAGAACAAUAUCUAGUAGACAAACGAUCAAAGCACCGUGACAAACCAGCGUGGCAAUUUAUGCAAAAUUCAGAGUAAACACAUCAUUCUAAAUUAGAUCUUAAUAAUAGUUUUUAUGUAAAAUGAUUUUAAACGUGGCAUUUUAGUAAUGCUUGCUCUUCAGUGAGUUAACAUUGACUUCAUCUUUUUUUGUAACUAAAUGAAAACAAAACAGAAGUUGCAAAUAUUUACUGAAUAUCUUAAAAACAUUAAAAAGAUAUCUGCAUGUUAAUUCAAAUUAAAAUCCCUAAUACUUAGGCCCUUGGUUUAGGAAUAUGAUCGACUCCAAUUUUUGGUUUGUGACUCCAAUUUUGAUUCAUUUCCAAUCAUUUUCUUUGAGCACAGAGAUGCAAUAUCAUAGUUCGUGUAAAGACUUGUAAGAGGCCUUCUUAAAAGCAAUGAGGUAAAACAGUAAGCCCUUUUACUACGAGUUUCCGCUCUUCUUUCCAAAAUCUCUUCAGAUGUCAAAGCUGUAUAUUAAAGUUUUAGAAUAAAGUCUCCACACAACGAUGGAAAUGGUCAGCACGUUGUUUAGGGGUUGGUGUCAAUAAGCGGAUGUGAACUCUAGCUAUAACUUGAAGGCAAUUUUUAUGUAUAACUUUAGGAAUCCAUUUCUGUGUGAACAAAUUAUAGUGAUUUAAAACAUCCUUUCACUCAUUAUAAUGUUGUAAUUCUUUUAUCCUUGCUCCAAGUAAUCAUUUGACUGCUUCCCCAAGACACUUUAUAAAGAGUUGCAUUUCCGGUCUGGCACGGUGGCUCACGCCUGUAAUCCCAGCACUUUGGGAGGCUGAUGCGGGCAGACUGCAUGAGGCCAAGAGUUCGAGACCAAACUGGGCAGCAUGGCAAAACCCCGCCUCUACAAAAAAAUACUAAAGCUAGCUUGUCGUCGUGGUGGGUGCCUGUAAUCCCAGCUACUUGGGAGGCUGAGCUGGGAGGAGCACUCCAGCCCAAGAGGCAGAGGUUGCAGUGAGCUGACAUCUCACUACUGUACUCCAGCCUCAGCGUCAGAGCUCAACCCUG